UGGGGAAUUUUGGACAAUGGGCGAAAGCCUGAUCCAGCAAUGCCGCGUGUGUGAAGAAGGCCUUCGGGUUGUAAAGCACUUUUGUCCGGAAAGAAAUCCUUGGCUCUAAUACAGUCGGGGGAUGACGGUACCGGAAGAAUAAGCACCGGCUAACUACGUGCCAGCAGCCGCGGUAAUACGUAGGGUGCAAGCGUUAAUCGGAAUUACUGGGCGUAAAGCGUGCGCAGGCGGUUUGCUAAGACCGAUGUGAAAUCCCCGGGCUCAACCUGGGAACUGCAUUGGUGACUGGCAGGCUAGAGUAUGGCAGAGGGGGGUAGAAUUCCACGUGUAGCAGUGAAAUGCGUAGAGAUGUGGAGGAAUACCGAUGGCGAAGGCAGCCCCCUGGGCCAAUACUGACGCUCAUGCACGAAAGCGUGGGGGAGCAAACAGGAUUAGAUACCCCUGGUAGUCCACGCCCUAAACGAUGUCAACUAGUUGUUGGGGAUUCAUUUCCUUAGUAACGUAGCUAACGCGUGAAGUUGACCGCCUGGGGAGUACGGUCGCAAGAUUAAAACUCAAAUGAAUUGACGGGGUCAUAGCUG
rnacentral:rRNA from 1 species